GAUGAACGCUAGCGGCAGGCUUAAUACAUGCAAGUCGUGGGGCAGCAUGAGUAGCAAUACUUGAUGGCGACCGGCAAACGGGUGAGGAACACGUACACAACCUUCCUUCAAGCGGGGAAUAGCCCAGAGAAAUUUGGAUUAAUACCCCAUAAUAUAUUUGAUAAGGCAUCUUAUUAAUAUUAAAGCUUCGGCACUUGAUGAUGGGUGUGCGGCUGAUUAGAUAGUUGGCGGGUAACGGCCCACCAAGUCUACGAUCAGUAGCUGAUGUGAGAGCAUGAUCAGCCACACGGGUACUGAGACACGGGCCCGACUCCUACGGGAGGCAGCAGUAAGGAAUAUUGGACAAUGGACGAAAGUCUGAUCCAGCCAUGCCGCGUGAAGGAUUAAGGUCCUCUGGAUUGUAAACUUCUUUAUAUGGGACGAAAAAAGGGCGAUUCUUAGUUCACUUGACGGUACCAUAUGAAUAAGCACCGGCUAACUCCGUGCCAGCAGCCG
rnacentral:rRNA from 1 species